rnacentral:rRNA from 1 species
AGUUAACUGAACCUUCGGGGAACGUUAACGGCGUCGAGCGGCGGACGGGUGAGUAAUGCCUGGGAAAUUGCCCUGAUGUGGGGGAUAACCAUUGGAAACGAUGGCUAAUACCGCAUAAUAGCUUCGGCUCAAAGAGGGGGACCUUCGGGCCUCUCGCGUCAGGAUAUGCCCAGGUGGGAUUAGCUAGUUGGUGAGGUAAUGGCUCACCAAGGCGACGAUCCCUAGCUGGUCUGAGAGGAUGAUCAGCCACACUGGAACUGAGACACGGUCCAGACUCCUACGGGAGGCAGCAGUGGGGAAUAUUGCACAAUGGGCGCAAGCCUGAUGCAGCCAUGCCGCGUGUAUGAAGAAGGCCUUCGGGUUGUAAAGUACUUUCAGCAGUGAGGAAGGCGGGUUCGUUAAUAGCGUGCUUGUUUGACGUUAGCUGCAGAAGAAGCACCGGCUAACUCCGUGCCAGCAGCCGCGGUAAUACGGAGGGUGCGAGCGUUAAUCGGAAUUACUGGGCGUAAAGCGCAUGCAGGUGGUUUGUUAAGUCAGAUGUGAAAGCCCGGGGCUCAACCUCGGAAUUGCAUUUGAAACUGGCAGACUAGAGUACUGUAGAGGGGGGUAGAAUUUCAGGUGUAGCGGUGAAAUGCGUAGAGAUCUGAAGGAAUACCGGUGGCGAAGGCGGCCCCCUGGACAGAUACUGACACUCAGAUGCGAAAGCGUGGGGAGCAAACAGGAUUAGAUACCCUGGUAGUCCACGCCGUAAACGAUGUCUACUUGGAGGUUGUGGCCUUGAGCCGUGGCUUUCGGAGCUAACGCGUUAAGUAGACCGCCUGGGGAGUACGGUCGCAAGAUUAAAACUCAAAUGAAUUGACGGGGGCCCGCACAAGCGGUGGAGCAUGUGGUUUAAUUCGAUGCAACGCGAAGAACCUUACCUACUCUUGACAUCCAGAGAACUUUCCAGAGAUGGAUUGGUGCCUUCGGGACUCUGAGACAGGUGCUGCAUGGCUGUCGUCAGCUCGUGUUGUGAAAUGUUGGGUUAAGUCCCGCAACGAGCGCAACCCUUAUCCUUGUUUGCCAGCACUUCGGGUGGGAACUCCAGGGAGACUGCCGGUGAUAAACCGGAGGAAGGUGGGGACGACGUCAAGUCAUCAUGGCCCUUACGAGUAGGGCUACACACGUGCUACAAUGGCGCAUACAGAGGGCGGCCAACUUGCGAAAGUGAGCGAAUCCCAAAAAGUGCGUCGUAGUCCGGAUCGGAGUCUGCAACUCGACUCCGUGAAGUCGGAAUCGCUAGUAAUCGUGGAUCAGAAUGCCACGGUGAAUACGUUCCCGGGCCUUGUACACACCGCCCGUCACA